AUAUAUAUAUAUAUUUUAAGUAAUUUGUCAAAACUACCUUCAAAAUAUCGCCUUUUCAAUCCUUUUUUUUUUGUUUUGUUUUGUUUUUUUUUUUUUUUUUGUGAAACAGACGAGUUCGACAAAAGCUAAGCAACUUUGAUAUUUUUCUAGUGCAAUUCUAUCACUCGAUCCUCAUUGAAGACCACCAAUAGAAAAAUGUAUAUGUUUUUAGCAAAAUAACACCGUUUUUCAGUUAAGUUUAAAGUUUCUUUCUUAAAAUAAUAAAAGGGCCAUCCAUCCUCCCUUUUCCCAAUCCUCUUAUAAAUUUGAGCUCCGGCCCUAUACCUAUCCGAUAUACUAUUUGUUUGACCUACAACAAUAUUGACCUAAAGACACAAGAGCACUAAAGAGUGGGAUAUACAGUAAGCACACAAUGGUAUGGGUCAGCCAAAUGCUCGACGAAAUGCCUCAUUGAAAACAUUGGAACCCAACGAAGAGAGUCAUGCAUACGUCACUGCUUAGUUAUGUCUCCAAUGAGCUAACUUUCUAGAUUCGCUCCUGACUAGAUACACACACUACAACAAAUAUGGGCACUGCGCACAAUAUAUUAUAUGUGCCCUUUGAGGCCAAAGAGCACCAACUUAUGUGCCCAUAGACCAAUAGCAACAAUGCAACAACUAAGUUUCUAUAUGUGCCCUCUAUGGGCGUCACCUUUGAUCAAAGAGCACAAUUAGGUAUGCUGUGCUGAAAAGUGUAAGCACAAAUAAAGGUUCUUUUGUGCCCAGUUCUGACAAAGUUGUCUGCCACCCAUGUUAGCACAUUUAUUGUUAUUGUGCCCAAUAUGUCAACUAUUUAAAAAAAAAAUUAAAAACCAAAAUCACCUACAAAUUGAGAUUGAGGCUAAACAAAAAAUUAUUUUUUCAUAAAAUUAAAACAGCCCACAACCACAAGCAUCUAUAAUAUUACAAUUUACAAGGAUAUUCACAACCAUUAUAAGUAAAAACAACUAUAAUUUUACAUGUUCUAUCCCCAACUAAAAUAAAACUAAAAUUAUAAAGGUUUUAAGUGAAUAUCGGUUCUCUCAAGCAUAAGAACAUCAAAUAUUAAGGUUUUAAGUGAACCUGCACAGUUCUUUUCUCAUCUUCUAGUUCCAAAAUUUUCUUUCCAAAAUGCUGCUUGAGUGCCAGUGUCAGACCCUUCAAAAUUUACACAGAGCAACAAGAAAUGAGUAUGUAGUGGCUUCCAAAUUUUCAAAUUAUGAUUAUCUUUAUCUCACGAACUGUUAUAUAUCCUUCCUCCCACAGAUUAAUUGGUGUAAUUCUGCUAUGUAUACAUGCACUUGUUUGUGAUUGAAACAUAAAGAGUUUUGCCUGACACUUUAGUAACAUUCUUAUACGGAUGGCAAGCAAUCCUCAGACAAAUUAGGACAUAAAAAUAGAAUCCAAAGUCCCAACAAUAUAAUUCUCACUCUUUCAAAUGUAAAGAAAAAAUGUCAUUUCCUACAACAUAUAACAAACCCGAAUUUAAAGAACUUAGGAGAUUAGUAGUUGGUCUGGAGUUUAAUUGAUAGAACACAUAAGUGUAAUGGAAAAAAAUUAUGCACCUUGUAAUGGGCAUCUGAAUUAACUAUUAAGAUAUAAUCAAACUUUACCUUAAUCUGAAAGCGCAAAGCUUUAUAUAAUACCCAGGCCUGCAAAGGAAAGUAAUCCCAAACCACGUAAGCACACAUCAAGAAAAACCCAAACUUAGAAAGCUGCAAAAAGGUCUACACAUGGACAUGCACAUGGGAAUAAGAAAAAGAGAUUUGGUACAACUCUCAAGCCCCAAACCAUUACAGUGGAUGUUUACAAAUUUAAAAUGCAGCCCCUGUUCAAUGAUUAACACUCAAAAUUUAAUGUUUCGCAUGUUCCAGAUUUAAUGUAGUAUCGAAAAAGUAGUGCAAUAUCUUUAAUUUGGCAACUCAACAUAACAAAGUCAAAUAUAAUUGAGGAAAUAAAGAUAUGCAGAGAUGUACUUACACUGAGAGAGUAGAGCAAUCUGAUACCUGCACUUACAGAGUCAAAUCUCCUCUUCUUAGAAUUAAGAUGUAUUGCACCCAAAAAAUCAAUGACCUCAUGUCACGUGCAUAUAAACAUAUAUGCAUAUAUAUUUUAAACUUGUAUGUACAAAAGGGUUCAUAACACCAAACUCCAAAAUGAGAUACAAUACCAUUUGGCAUCUAUUGUCAAGCCCCAUUCCCCAGAUACUCCACACAAUUAACCUAAUCACAAGUACAAACCAUCACUAAAAGGCAUGAGCACACAUAAUACUAAAAGACCAAUUCCAUCCUUUAAAUAAAUUACUUUUAUACAUGUGGAGUAAUUUGGCAAUUGUAAGUUUUCUUAAAAAGAAUUUUCAAACAGUAUUUCAAAGAGUAUAAGACUAAUGACCAACACCUCAAUCCAAAAAUGGGUUUUGCAUGAUAUUCAGUAGUAUAUGGUGAACAUCAUAUAGCCAAUUCUACUUUUAAACCAAAAUAGGCAUGAACUAUGUAGAUAUACAUGUUAAAUAUAUAUAUAUACCAUUUUGAGAUAUGAGAGAUCUAAUUCCCUUAAAGAGAUCUAGUACCAUAAUUUUGAAUUGCGAGUAAGACAGUAGCAACAGCCUCCUUCCAAGUCAAUCCUAAGGCAAAGGCAAUAGGAACACAAACCACCUUCCAGCAAUAGUGGCACUAGAAUCCUCUAUAAUACUCCCAUCUCUGCUACUCAAAGUUAUAUUAGCCAGUCCCAUACUACUAGUAAGUAAUUACAUCAAACUAGGCCAGUAACCAUUUCAACCGGUGUCAGCUGCUCCUCAGAGAAGAGAGCCACUCUUCCAUAUACUUCAUGUUCUCUGCACACAAAGCAACAUGCAGAGAACAAGUCAGCACUGGAUGUUCAUUUUAAUUUCGAAAAGCAUUUUGCUAGUGAGGUACAUUAUUCUUUUGCACAUGACUCAAAUGCAAUUGCAUCUGAACACGAAAGCUGGAUAACAAUUACCACAAACAAAUGUCCGCUCAAACCCAAAUUUCUUAAAAGUAAUCUGAACUAAGCAAUCAAACUGAAACUUUCUAUACUAUUUGAUAUGUUCUUUUCCAAAACACAAAAUGAUGAACUGAACACAAAACAUGAGCUUUCACAAAGAAGUCAUGUACCUCGUUACUAGAAUAUAAUUAUCCAUGACAUUCCCAGAACAAAUAAUUAGAUUUAAGUUUUCCGGUUACAAAGAUUGGAUUUUAUUAUUAUUAUUCAGAGUAGCCAUAACCCUUGGCUUCCCAUCAUCUUUCUUUUGGUCAAUAAUAAACUUUGAACGUACGAUAAUUGACUAUACAUAUGAAACUCAAAACCUCUAAGACGGAUGGAUUUACACACCAUCCAUAUUUCAUGUUAUUGACUUGUGUGCAGCCUUGCAUGUAUCAAAUUUUAUGCAACACCCCUCCAAUAUCAAAAAGAAAGGUCACCUUUCAUCCAAAAACAUAUCCGAACUUUAGUAUUCUUAAAAUUAACCGAAAUAGAGUUCCUUAAUAACAGGAAACCCCCACACUGACCAUGAGAUGCAACAACAAAUGAUAAAUUUAUUCAAGACACAACAGAAAAUAUCAAGAUAAUUUAUUCGAAGGAAGCUUGACAAAAUAUCCUAGCCGGGAACAACCCCGACGAUUCCAAGUCAUGAACUUCAAGGACAACAAACUUUCGACCAUAUUUUGCGACUGAUUAGAACAAAUUUCUCAACCAAGAUUACCCAUCUCAAACAAAGAAUAGUUAUCACUCAUGAAUACCAAUAGAAGUUAAUAAUUCUAAUCAAGAAAGGAAUGACGUUACCCAUAUGACAGGAACGAAACGGUACGCACCAAAAAAACUGCCAUAACCAACCGUCGAAGUUCACCUUGCUUGCACUCUGUGGACACCCAGAAGUUGUUCACUGAUCUCUUGGGUCGAGGUCCAAUUCCGACAGGCUUGGCCAGAAAUUGGCCGGAAAAGCACUGGUCACCGUUUCUUAGAUCUGAAAUUGAGGAAAUUUGGUUACGAAUUUGUAGAAACUAAUUUGGGGGUUGGAAAGAGGACGGAAAAAUGAUUCUAGAAGUUUAAUUUGGGGGUUGGUGACCGGUGGACGGCGGCGCUGUUGCGUGAAAGUGAAGAGGAAGAGGAAGUAUAUGAGAGGGAGGAAGAUGGUUGACGAAGACAAGGAGGAGAAGUAGAGUAGAGAGUGCAAAGAUGAUUCGAGGGAUUAGAGAGAGUGUUGAGUCCGAGGCUGUUGACAUACCAAAGGAGGAGAUGAGAGAGUGCAGAGAGAUCCGAGAGGUUAGAGAGUCUGUUUGAUGAUAAGUGUGAAAGAGAGAGCGUAGAGUCAUUUGAUUCAUCCACCUUUAAAACAUUAUUU
rnacentral:lncRNA from 1 species